GCUUACGGCCAUACCACCCUGAACACGCCCGAUCUCGUCUGAUCUCGGAAGCUAAGCAGGGUCGGGCCUGGUUAGUACUUGGAUGGGAGACCGCCUGGG
rnacentral:rRNA from 9 species